AUGAGACCUCCGCAGGAGCAAACUGAACUCUACAGUGAAGGGCUCCGUGCUCCAGUACAGACUUUAUCCUGACAUUAUUGGCCAAACCAUUAUCAGACCACUGAAGAGCAACUGUGGGCCUGGAUCAUGUCCUAAUGAAUGGAAGUUUUGCCAUUGACUUCAAUGGGAGCAGGAUCAGUGCCUCUGCAGGCUACAAACUAAUCUGCACAUUUUUAGACCUGUAACUUGAAUGCAGUUCACAAUGAGAGGAGAAUCAGACCCAUCAUAUUCACAGUGAACAUUCACUGAACAGUGAGAGGGACUGACCCCUACCUGAAUGAAUCUGCUCAGGUUGAUAACAGGCGCAGUGAUGAAUAGUUGGACCAGCUCUAAAUACAACUGAGUUCCACUGUCUCUGGGAAUUUUUACAAAACUCAUCCAAUUAAGCUGAUUGUGAAACCAAAAGUUGCAAAAUUGUUGCCCAUAAUCAGCAGCCUUGUAUGCCUUACCUGAUUGAUUCUAAAGGCUCUUACAGCCAAAUCUUGCAGUUCUUACUUAGCCAAGUAAGUACUCCUAAGUACAACAUGCUGUCAGACAGGCCCAGGGAUUCAGACAUCUUACCUAAGACUGCUUUUUUCAGGAAAGGUGAAUGUUCUGCAUUAUGCUGGAGUGGGAGAAGGAUGUAGAAGGUUCAACUAGUCUGCCCACAAAACAAGAUUCAAUGGUUCGGUUAAAAUGUUAGAGACCAGCAAAUCUAUUUUUCUACUACUGCAGCGCUGCUCUUUCACUAU